rnacentral:rRNA from 1 species
CCUGGCUUAGGACGAACGCUGGCGGCGUGCCUAAUACAUGCAAGUCGAACGGUCUUUCUAUGGAAGCUUGCUUCCACUGAGAAGAUAGUGGCGAACGGGUGAGUAACACGUGGGUAACCUGCCCAUAAGAGGGGGAUAACAUCCGGAAACGGGUGCUAAUACCGCAUAGUUUUCUUGAUCGCAUGAUUGAGAAAGGAAAGACGGCCUUUGUGCUGUCGCUUAUGGAUGGACCCGCGGCGUAUUAGUUAGUUGGUGAGGUAACGGCUCACCAAGACGAUGAUACGUAGCCGACCUGAGAGGGUGAUCGGCCACAUUGGGACUGAGACACGGCCCAAACUCCUACGGGAGGCAGCAGUAGGGAAUCUUCCGCAAUGGACGAAAGUCUGACGGAGCAACGCCGCGUGAGUGAAGGAGGGUUUUUUCCGGAUCGUAAAACUCUGUUGUCAGAGAAGAACAAGUUGGAGAGUAACUGCUCCAGCCUUGACGGUAUCUGACCAGAAAGCCACGGCUAACUACGUGCCAGCCGCAGC